rnacentral:rRNA from 1 species
AACGUCCGUCGUGAAGAGGGAAACAACCCAGACCGCCAGCUAAGGUCCCAAAGUCAUGGUUAAGUGGGAAACGAUGUGGGAAGGCCCAGACAGCCAGGAUGUUGGCUUAGAAGCAGCCAUCAUUUAAAGAAAGCGUAAUAGCUCACUGGUCGAGUCGGCCUGCGCGGAAGAUGUAACGGGGCUAAACCAUGCACCGAAGCUGCGGCAGCGACGCUGAUGCGUUGUUGGGUAGGGGAGCGUUCUGUAAGCCUGCGAAGGUGGCCUGUGAGGGUUGCUGGAGGUAUCAGAAGUGCGAAUGCUGACAUAAGUAACGAUAAAGCGGGUGAAAAGCCCGCUCGCCGGAAGACCAAGGGUUCCUGUCCAACGUUAAUCGGGGCAGGGUGAGUCGACCCCUAAGGCGAGGCCGAAAGGCGUAGUCGAUGGGAAACGGGUUAAUAUUCCCGUACUUGGUGUUACUGCGAAGGGGGGACGGAGAAGGCUAUGUUGGCCGGGCGACGGUUGUCCCGGUUUAAGCGUGUAGGUGUGUGUUCCAGGUAAAUCCGGUUCACUUUAACACUGAGGCGUGAUGACGAGGCACUACGGUGCUGAAGCAACAAAUGCCCUGCUUCCAGGAAAAGCCUCUAAGCAUCAGGUAACAUCAAAUCGUACCCCAAACCGACACAGGUGGUCAGGUAGAGAAUACCAAGGCGCUUGAGAGAACUCGGGUGAAGGAACUAGGCAAAAUGGUGCCGUAACUUCGGGAGAAGGCACGCUGACACGUAGGUGAAGUGAUUUACUCAUGGAGCUGAAGUCAGUCGAAGAUACCAGCUGGCUGCAACUGUUUAUUAAAAACACAGCACUGUGCAAACACGAAAGUGGACGUAUACGGUGUGACGCCUGCCCGGUGCCGGAAGGUUAAUUGAUGGGGUCAGCGCAAGCGAAGCUCCUGAUCGAAGCCCCGGUAAACGGCGGCCGUAACUAUAACGGUCCUAAGGUAGCGAAAUUCCUUGUCGGGUAAGUUCCGACCUGCACGAAUGGCGUAAUGAUGGCCAGGCUGUCUCCACCCGAGACUCAGUGAAAUUGAACUCGCUGUGAAGAUGCAGUGUACCCGCGGCAAGACGGAAAGACCCCGUGAACCUUUACUAUAGCUUGACACUGAACAUUGAGCCUUGAUGUGUAGGAUAGGUGGGAGGCUUUGAAGUGUGGACGCCAGUCUGCAUGGAGCCGGCCUUGAAAUACCACCCUUUAAUGUUUGAUGUUCUAACGUGGACCCGUGAUCCGGGUUGCGGACAGUGUCUGGUGGGUAGUUUGACUGGGGCGGUCUCCUCCUAAAGAGUAACGGAGGAGCACGAAGGUUGGCUAAUCCUGGUCGGACAUCAGGAGGUUAGUGCAAUGGCAUAAGCCAGCUUGACUGCGAGCGUGACGGCGCGAGCAGGUGCGAAAGCAGGUCAUAGUGAUCCGGUGGUUCUGAAUGGAAGGGCCAUCGCUCAACGGAUAAAAGGUACUCCGGGGAUAACAGGCUGAUACCGCCCAAGAGUUCAUAUCGACGGCGGUGUUUGGCACCUCGAUGUCGGCUCAUCACAUCCUGGGGCUGAAGUAGGUCCCAAGGGUAUGGCUGUUCGCCAUUUAAAGUGGUACGCGAGCUGGGUUUAGAACGUCGUGAGACAGUUCGGUCCCUAUCUGCCGUGGGCGCUGGAGAACUGAGGGGGGCUGCUCCUAGUACGAGAGGACCGGAGUGGACGCAUCACUGGUGUUCGGGUUGUCAUGCCAAUGGCACUGCCCGGUAGCUAAAUGCGGAAGAGAUAAGUGCUGAAAGCAUCUAAGCACGAAACUUGCCCCGAGAUGAGUUCUCCCUGAGACUUAGAGUCUCCUGAAGGAACGUUGAAGACGACGACGUUGAUAGGCCGGGUGUGUAAGCGCAGCGAUGCGUUGAGCUAACCGGUACUAAUGAACCGUGAGGCUUAACCUUACA